rnacentral:rRNA from 1 species
GCGAUCCUACGGGGGGCAGCAGUAGGGAAUUUUCGGCAAUGGGGGGAACCCUGACCGAGCAACGCCGCGUGAAGGAAGAAGGAACUCGUUCUGUAAACUUCUGUUAUAAAGGAAGAAAGGCGGAUGAAGGAAAUGACAUCCGAGUGACGGUACUUUAUGAGAAAGCCACGGCUAACUACAUGCCAGCAGCCGCGGUAAUACGUAGGUGGCAAGCGUUAUCCGGAAUUAUCGGGCGUAAAGGGGGAGCAGGCGGCAGCAAAGGUCUGUGGUGAA